rnacentral:rRNA from 1 species
AACGAACGCUGGCGGCAUGCCUAACACAUGCAAGUCGAACGAUCCCUUCGGGGAUAGUGGCGCACGGGUGCGUAACGCGUGGGAACCUGCCCUUAGGUUCGGAAUAACUCAGAGAAAUUUGAGCUAAUACCGGAUAAUGUCUUCGGACCAAAGAUUUAUCGCCUUUGGAUGGGCCCGCGUUGGAUUAGCUAGUUGGUGGGGUAAAGGCCUACCAAGGCGACGAUCCACAGCUGGUCUGAGAGGAUGAUCAGCCACACUGGGACUGAGACACGGCCCAGACUCCUACGGGAGGCAGCAGUGGGGAAUAUUGGAAAAUGGGCGAAAGCCUGAUCCAGCAAUGCCGCGUGAGUGAUGAAGGCCUUAGGGUUGUAAAGCUCUUUUACCCGGGAUGAUAAUGACAGUACCGGGAGAAUAAGCCCCGGCUAACUCCGUG